AACGAACGCUGGCGGCAUGCCUAACACAUGCAAGUCGAACGAGACCUUCGGGUCUAGUGGCGCCCCGGUGCGUAAAGCGUGGGAACCUGCCCUUAUGAUCGGAAUAACUCUUUGAAAUGGGUGCUAAUACCGGAUACUGUCUUCGGACCAAAGAUUUAUCGCCUUUGGAUGGGCGCGCGUUGGAUUAGCUUGUUGGUAGGGUAAAAGCGUACCAAGGGUACGAUGCAUAGUUGGUCUGAGAGGAUGAUCAGCCACACUGGGACUGAGACACGGCCCAGACUCCUACGGGAGGGAGCAGUGGGGAAUAUUGGACAAAGGGCGAAAGCCUGAACCAGCAGUGCCGCGUGAGUGAUGAAGGCCUGAGGGUUGUAAAGCCCUUUUACCCGGGAUGAUAAUGACGGUACCGGGAGAAUAAGCUCCGGCUAACUCCGUG
rnacentral:rRNA from 1 species